GACGAACGCUGGCGGCGUGCUUAACACGUGCAAGUCGAACGAUGAACCGGUUUCGGCCGGGGAUUAGUGGCGAACGGGUGAGUAACACGUGGGCAAUCUGCCCUGCACUCUGGGAUAAGCCCGGGAAACUGGGUCUAAUACCGGAUACGACACUCCGAGGCAUCUUGGGGUGUGGAAAGUUCCGGCGGUGCAGGAUGAGCCCGCGGCCUAUCAGCUUGUUGGUGGGGUAAUGGCCUACCAAGGCGACGACGGGUAGCCGGCCUGAGAGGGUGACCGGCCACACUGGGACUGAGACACGGCCCAGACUCCUACGGGAGGCAGCAGUGGGGAAUAUUGCACAAUGGGCGAAAGCCUGAUGCAGCGACGCCGCGUGAGGGAUGACGGCCUUCGGGUUGUAAACCUCUUUCAGCAGGGAAGAAGCGAAAGUGACGGUACCUGCAGAAGAAGCACCGGCUAACUACGUG
rnacentral:rRNA from 1 species